CACGUAGUUAGCCGGUGCUUCUUAUCCAGGUACCGUCACUUUCGCUUCGUCCCUGACGAAAGGAGUUUACAACCCGAAGGCCGUCAUCCCCCCACGCGGCGUCGCUGCAUCAGGCUUGCGCCCAUUGUGCAAUAUUCCCCACUGCUGCCUCCCCGUAGGAGUCUGGGCCGUAUCUCAGUCCCAAUGUGGCCGUACACCCUCUCAGGCCGGCUACCCGUCGACGCCUUGGUAGGCCAUUACCCCACCAACAAGCUGAUAGGCCGCGAGCUCAUCCCACACCGAAAAACUUUCCACCACCGACACUAAACGAUGGUCCUAUCCGGUAUUAGACCCAGUUUCCCAGGCUUAUCCCGAAGUGCAGGGCAGAUCACCCACGUGUUACUCACCCGUUCGCCACUCGAGUACCCCCUGCAAGCAGGAGCCUUUCCGUCGACUUGCAUGUGUUAAGCACGCCGCCAGCGUUCACUCCUGAGCCAGGAUCAAACUCU
rnacentral:rRNA from 1 species